ensembl:lncRNA
ACACUUAAAGAACCAUCCUCCCUUCUCCAAGCAUCCCAAGUGGGAUCUGCUCCUGCAGACACCCCAGGUUCAGUAGUAUCUAUAGGCCCCAAAUCCCCAGACAUCUCCGGUGGCUGUGCCCAUUCAGUGCCCACUUCCCCAGACAUCUCCGGUGGCUGUGCCCAUUCAGUGCCCGCUUCCCCAGCCACCACCUGUUCCUCAGCAUCCAUCUCUCCAUCUGAAUCUUCCUCAGAAGAUCCCCCAUAUAGCUCUCUAAGUCGCUUCCUGCGCAACUCCUCCAGUGAACCCUCAUCACGAGGGUUUUUUCUUCCUCUUCGAAUUCCAUCACCAUCAACCAUAAUCCCCGAAGGCGCAGUCACAACACUACAUUUGGAUGAUGAACUACUCAAUUUUCCUGUUAUGCCUGAAAAGUAAAAUCAAAGCACCCAGACAAAUGAUCCUUACAGCCCCAUCAUCAUCAUCAUCAUCAUUAUCAUCAUCAUCUCCUAGAAUUGGAAGAGACCCUUCAGUCCAGAAGGCCAUUAAGCCCAGGGGCCAUUCAGUCCAUUGGCAGAAGAUACUUCCUCAUCCUAGUCCCUAAGCAAACAUGUGAAUUCAACUGCUUAAAAAAGUAUUGAGAUUAUGCAGAGCAUGUACACUUGGAUAUGAUAUUGAACAUUAUUUCACAGAUGGGAAUCAUUCUUGUUAGAUUGCUGGAAAUUAUUAGGCCAAGAGGUGUAAAAAGAAGGAGGAGGAGGAGGAGGAGGAAGAAGAAGGAGGAGAACAAAGAAGGACAGUUGUCUGGAGCAUGCCAAGUCCUGUUUGGCUUCUUGCUAUAGCUCUGCGUUUGCAAGUUCUACAUAUGUGUAUUAUUCUAGGUGAAGAAUACCGUAUGCAGUAUCAGGAAUUCUACACUUAGUGCUGUUGUUGUGUGUCUUCUGACUUAUGAAGAUCCUAAGGAGAAUCUAUAAUGGGGCUUUUGUGACAAGAUUGGUUCAGAGGAGGUUUGUUAACUGAGAGAAUGUGACCUGCCCAAUGUCCCCCAUUGGUUUCCAUGGCUGAGUGGGGAUUUGAAUUCUGGUCUCCAGAUUCACAGUUCGGUGCUCAAACCACUACACCGCACUUCAUGUAAACUUUAUAAGGAAUAUAUCCAAUUACUUGCAGUGCAUGGCUGGAAAGGGAUGCUCACUGGGUUUUCCAUUCCAAUGCACAUUUCUGUCUAUACUCUUGCACAAUUAGUCAUCAUACAACUAAAUGCUAGCUCCAUUCUUAAAAAUCUGUAAGUGCAGAUUCUGUUCAAGUCAUAUACCGUAUAUACUCGAGUAUAAGCUGACCUGAAUAUAAGCCGAGGCACCUAAUUUUAUCACAAAAAACUGGGAUAACUUAUUGACUCGAGUAUAAGCUGAGGGUGGGAAAUGCAGCAGUUACGGGUAAACUUCAAAAUAAAAAUAGAUACCAAUAAAAUUUCAUUAAUCGAGGCAUCAGUAGGUUAAAUGUUUUUGAAUAUUUACCAUAUUUCAAAGAAAAGCAAUAAACUAGCUCUAUAAGUGGAAAAGUAGGGGCAACAAAAACAAUAUGGUAUA